UGGCUCUUUGUUCCGCAGCUUAAGCCCACAUCCAGUAAUCCUUUCACCUUCCUCUUCCUAUUAUCCCCUCUUGAGUCAUAAAGCUCCAUCCUUUACAGGAACUUUGAACUGCCAUAAAACUCUUCUGAUUCCCUCAGCUUUAAUCCUUAUGAAGCCUCUGUUUUAAUUCAACUUCCAACCGUCAUCAAAUCAGUUCAACAACGCAAAUCUCCCAGAUUACCUCCAUCACGGUUUACAAAACCCGAACAAAAAGUUGGAUUCAACUAGGACGACACCGAUAUCACGGUCUAGAAGACCUCCCAAAGAAAACGAUGUUGUGAUCGGUAAAGGCUUCUUCGAGUCAUUUGUCCAUGGUAAGAAGAACAAGACUGUGCUUAGAUCCACGUUCAUGAGCCUCUAAGAGAUCUGGACAAGCUGUCUCCGAUCUUAUCUCAAAUAAUUUUCUGGAGAAUCAUCAGAUCAGUUCGAGGAAUUUUCCAAGUUCACGUCGACACAGGCCAGAAAAUAUGGGUAACUAUAUGUUCCGACAAGGUUGUGAUUUUCUAGCUGGUUAAAUAAUGGGUACUUCAGUGUUAUGAAGAUCCGAUCAUUGAUUCUCAGCAAGUGAUGUUCCAUAAUUUUCCCAAAUCUUAUCGUCUUCUACUUUAAACAAUGAAGCAGAGAAGAAGAUCCUCAGCUAUCUUAAAUUGACAGAAGCAGAGAAGAAGAUCCUCACAAAGGAGAAACUUGAGCGGAAGAAAAAUGGAUGUUAAGGUGGUUAUAGAGGAAGAUUUUGAGGAGUUUUAUCAGGCCCGUGUCCACUUGCCAUGAAAGAUAAUGCUGUUACACCAUAUCUUAAAGAGGAGGAAGAUGAUAUUUCUUAUUAUUCACUUUGUGAUUUAGAGAUUUGCCUUUUUCAGAACCACUUUUACACCAUAUCUUAAGUUAGGAUUUCUUUAGGCAGUUUCUUUGUGUUUAGUUUAUGUUAAACGCAGUAGUAAGCAUUGCAGGACCUGUAACGAGUGUUGAAUGAUUUGAUCAAAAUUUAAGGGUAAGGGGUUUGGUGGUUCAACACCUGAAUUCAAAACUGUUUUCCUAUUUGUUUGUUUACCCAUAAAUUUUCUCUUAUGAUUUUUUUUUUUAUAAUCAGUGGCUCAGUAACUACGCUGAGAAAAAGAAAUAUACCAUUUUCAUACUUCUAAUGGUUUGUCUUACUCAUGAUGUGUAUUGCCAGAAACCUAUAGAUCAUUCAAGUCACGAGAUCGACUGGAUUUGUUACAACAGCUAAUGAUAGAAGGUGGAAGUGGAACAACAAUUGACAUAACCGUCAGAUGUUUUGUGGACAAGAAAGGGAUGGAAACCAAAUUGAUGUGAAGUCUUAUGUUACAUUGGUUUUGUUAAUGGCCUAUGCUUCAGCAACCAUGGGGCAGCUUUUCCUCUUCCAUGUCGUUCUCAUCAGAAAGAUGAAAGCUCCGUUUUCGAUUCGCCUGAAAGACCAAGACAAACGUUGAUCUCAAAGUUUAUGUACAAGAAAGCAAAUGAGCAGAGACUAACAUCCAUAAAGAUAGAAGGGGAUGGGCGUUCAACUUCUUCAAUGCUGAUCAACAAGAAACCAGGUUUCUAUGGAAGCAUAGACCUAUGGAAGCUGAUCACCUUAAGCUGAUAUAUCGAUGAAUGCAGACCUCUGCGGAAGAGUGCAUAGUGUUUAAUGCGUUGUGUUAUCUGUGUUAGCAGAUCGCGACUACACUCAAUGCAAUCACUCAAUUUUUUUUAUGGGUGUUCUAGAAUUGUUUUGGGCCCUAUGCUAAAUUUUAUUGGUUGCAGUUGUUAAAGAUUUAGAGGAUGGGUCAUGCGGGUCAUACUUCUCAGAUGUGGAAAACACUGGAGAGAAGUACGGAGUUAGGUCUCCACUAUAUGAAACCUCAAGGAAAAAGAGGACAACAAGGCAAAGUAUGGAUCAGAUAAGAGAUGUAUCCUAUUGCCAUUGACAGAGCGGGUGGGUUCAUAACCAGUAGGCGGAAUGUUUUGAAUUAACCUUACAUAACCUGAUUGCCUACAUUUUCAUUGAAUGAAGAUUAGAAGUUACAGCUACCUUCCUUUUUCUUUGUAGUCUAAUACUGUAUGUCGUAAACAUUCAAGAUAAAUCGGAAGAGUAGACGUGGCCGUUAACAAGUA